ensembl:lincRNA
CUCAGAAACAGUAACUAUACUGUAGCUGAAGGAUUUGAUCUGCUGGUUGAGGAUUUGGUCAUUAGUUUUUUUCAUUCAACUAGAAUGACUGUGAUGCUCAGGGAUUGGUGAAGCCAAGGACCCAGUCCUGUCCUUCCAGUCUGCACGUGGUCAGUCUGUUACAGCACAGUGUGUGGGAAGGGAGGUUCUGAAGCUGUGUCUGCACUGAGAUGCCACCGUGGAGACCCCUCCUGAGGGGCCUAAGGAAACCGAGGAAGCUGGAUCCUGUGGGAGUGUCUCCAGAGACAUCGUGAGCCCUAGAGGCCCAGGAGGCCUGCUCCAAUGGGGAACUGUUGGGGCCACCACCCUUGGGACAGGAGUGCUGCUAGGGUUUGUGUGUGGCAACUGGGUGCAUGUGGCCCUCUGUUCGUCUGAGUGUCCAUCCCUUCUGUCCUUGAGUUUGGUGUUACAGUUGGUCCCCAUAGUGUGGUGAGAGACUGUGCAUCUCUGAGCCGCAGUCCCAGGGCAUGACCAAGAGUAAGGAAACCCUUGGGCAUUGUCCGGAAUCAGUCAGCUUUCUCCCCUUGUUGUUGCUGAAACUUAGUUGCAAACCUAAUCCUUUUCAUUUAAGAAUGUUUCUUGGAAAACUAUUUUUUCCCCAGAGAUAAAAACCAAAAAUAUCCUUCUUAUGGAAAACUGCAUCACAUUAGGUCAGUGAGCUGAAUUUCUAUUCUCAGGGUGGUAAGAGAGGUCUGGCCAGGUCUCCAAAGCAGGGGCUGGGCUCGAGGUGUUCUCUCAGUCCUGACCUCCCACAGCUCCCCAGUGCUGGGCCAAGGCUUUGGCGCUGGCUACCUUGGAGAAGGCCUAGGGAGCCUGGACAUGAGUAGCCUCUCCUACACCCCCAUCUAGACAUGCAGAGGCCUCGUUUACCUCCCUGUUAAAAAUGGACAUCUGUCUACUCUGAUGUCGCCCCAGGCUUGAAGAAAACACCAGGAUGUCACAUGCUCACCGAGUACUCAAGAGACCAGCCAAGCCCAGAGUGGUCACAAUACAGACUAGACCGGAGCUUCGGGGCAGGUAUUCCUGCAAGAGAAGCUGCCACUAUCUGACCAGCCAGAGUGCCAAGAGUUACUUUCCUAGUAGCGGUAGCAGCCCCAGCCCAAUGACCCUGACCUCUGGACCCAGACCUGAGACCACAGGACGCCUUCUAGGGUUGGGCUGCAGCCUGUGGCCAUGAGCCACUAAGGAAAUGGCCCGUGACCUGGACCUCACCAACUCUGCUGCUCCACUUCACCAGCAGAAACAUUGCCUAGAAUGUCAUUCUCAAGGGUCGACACUAUUGGCUGACCUACCACAAAGGGGAGGCACCGGAAACUGCCAAGACAAUUUUAUGAUAAAUAGCCUCCUUCUUUUCCACCCUGGAAAUUAGGUUUCCUUGAUCUUUUUUAAGUUUAAAAAACUUUUAUAAUGAAAUUGGAAAGUACACGGCACCUUUGUUACAAAUAUUCUUUCUCAUCUUGGCACAGUUACUAGAAAGUUGCCUGGAAAUUAUUUUUAAAGUUCUAAGGAAAAUACACUUUUAUAACCUGAUGUGCUUGCCACAAUAAGCAUUUGAUUCACUUCCCAUUGUCUGGGAGAAAAUAGGAGGUUUAGUAUAGGAUUUGUUUAUUGGUGGGUUAACUAAAGUCUAGUAAUUAAAAAAAAAUACCUUUGGAGGUUUAUAUUGCCCCUUCCUCUUCCAUACAUCUUAAUCUCCCUUUAACAGUUUUCCUCUUUCUAACUUCCUAUGUGGCGUUCAGAUAACUGUAACCCACCUUCUUUCAGUUAGCAUUUGGGUUUAAAGUUCAGUGGUUCUAUUUUUAAUAAAAGUCUUUUUUUCUUUUAGAGGUACAUCUUUUCACCUAAGUAAUUGCAUGAGUUUUUUGUAUUGAUUUUAGAUCAUUUUAAACAUGCUUUUUUAAUACAAAAAAAAAAUCAACCCUAUUAAUGACAUUUUUUGAGGUUCUUAGAAGUCUUAAGCUGCCUAUGUCUUUGCUGUCUUUUGCAGCUUUUUUGUGUGACCCAUAAAUCUGGACUCUGACCUCAUGUUCUUCCUGGCCUUGUGUCUCAAAAUCAUGUGGGGCCUAGGUUAAGCGUAUAUGCUCACCCAGGAAGUAACUAACGCAUUGCACUCAUCUGAUGCCAACUCAUCAGAUGAUACCUUCCCUGGACCAUAACCACAGAGUUGUUAAAACCCCAACUGCAGCAUGGGACUACCAGCCUGUGCUUAUUUAAUUUUUGGUGGAGACUUUUCUUUAACCACAGAAGCCCAGGCCAAGACAAACAUGUUUCAUUGCCUCCCUUUGCCAAGGAGGUAUUGUUUGUCCUAGUCCAUCCUUCCACUGAGGAUGUGACUCCAGUUUUGGUGACUCUAAGUCUACUUGGAUGACUGGCCUUUUCCAUUAAGCCCUUUUUAAGCCUCGCGUCACAUGAUCUCACCACUUUUCAUAACUAUUUAGGCUUCUCUUUUCUUCUCUCUUUGAUCAGCUUUAGUCAUCAGCUCCACUGCAGAAAGUGAGCUCUCUCUCACGACCAUCUCUUACAUUCCUAUGGCCAGAUCCCACUCCUGGUUAACCCAAUUGACUCUCCCCUGUACCAGCUGUUGUCACACAAGAACUUGCUGGCUGAUGCCCAAUGUGCAGAAACCAAUUGGCACCAGCUUUUACAAAGAGAAGCUUUACUGCAGGUUAAGUGACACAGAAAUGGGAUGCACAGUCAGGCUUACCUCCUCACUGGCCAGUAGUGAAGAGUUUAAAUGGAGGGGUCUGGGGGAGAUAGAGAGCUGACUGCUGAUUGGUUGUAACUGAGAGCCUUGGUGGAAUAGUCCACACCCAUUUCACCAGCCCAGGUGGAACUUGUGAAUCAAUCUGGUUUAUCCUGCAGUGGUCAACUGAACUUCUAAUCAAGGUCCACAAGGCCCUCUUCAUGUUCCUUGGGUGCCACUGAUUAGAGAUGAAUCGUCCCACCAGGCUCUCAAAGUUAUGUUAGGCAGGUCCUAGGGUUCUGCACCUUCUCCAACACAGCUUGAGCAAUGUUUAGGAACAGGGAAUUUACCAUUAUGUGGCCCAGUUUUAGUCAGUGUGAGUAGAUUCACAUCUCCAGUGAAAAUUAGAUAGCUGGGCUGCUAGUUUCCUUUUUAAUUCAAGCCUUCAUACUUCACAUUGGCUCAUAACUUUGUUAGGCAGUUUCAUUAUAAUUAUCUUCUCUCUCAACCUUUUCCUUACAACCCUUCUCUCCAGCCUCUCUUUCAACCUAAUCUUACUGUUUUGGAGCAUAUAGAAGACAUCAGAAGGAAAGUUAUUUGUCCUCUAUGCCCCCAGCUCCACAAUCCCAUGUAUACCUGUUCCCGUCAGUUCUGCCUUUUCUCCUAUUAGAUUGGGAAGCAUCACUGCUCGCAGGAAGGGCAUCCCCUCCUCUUGUUCUCCACCCUCACUCACCCUUCCUUUCUCCAGGACUGUGCCCGUCCCCUCUCUGUUCUAUCAAGGGCCUUCAAACUCAAGUGAGCCUCCACAUUUUUAGAUGUUUCUAGUUCAGUAGGUCCAGGGUAGAGCCCGAGAAUCAGAAUUUCCAAGUUCCCAGCUCAUGCUGAUGCCAUUGGCCUGGACAGCACAUCUUUAGAACAGUUCCCUCCUACAGUGGUUGACCAACUGCUACUUCUUAGCAUAGCCAGAGAGUUCGUUCUUUGUUUAAAACUCAAGAUGCCCUGACCACAAACUAGUACAAUUAAAUCAAGAUUUGGGGCAUUGGUAUUUUUGAAAUUUCCUAUUUCCAAUGUGUAGCUAAACUUAAUAACAAACAUAGGAAUUUUAACAAAGGUUUUUAAUACAGAUACAGAUUUGAUCAGCUGGCAAGUUUAAUAGAUGGAAUGCCAAACAAAUAGAAUGCAUAUCUAUUAUAUAAAAUUCCAGAUUAUCAAAAUUUUUAGAUAUAGCUAAAUUGCUUAUAGGAAAUUUGUAGCAUUGACAAAUAUUAAAAUAGAACAAGGGUGUAAAAUUAAUAACCUAAGUACCUUUAUUAGGAAACUCUAGGAGGAGGAAUAAAUUUAGCCUAAAGCAAGCAGAAGAAAGGAAUAAUAAAAUGGAGAGCAGUAAAUAAAAUUAGACAAUAGACAAAAUCAACCAACCAAAAGCUGAUUCUUAGAAAAGAUCAAUGUAGUAUAACUAAGUAAAGUCAAUAUUAGAAAGGCACACUUGAGGGCUAGGGAUGCAGCUCGGUGGCACAGCGCCUGCCUGGCAAGCAUGAGGUCAUGAGUUUGAUUCCCAGUACCAAAAAAAACAAGGCACACUUCAUUCAACAUUAAAACUUUGAUUAAUGUAAUACAUUCCGGAGCAAGUCAUUACUUCAAUGAAUGUUAAUAAUGUUAAGUGAAAUAAAUCAGACACACGAGCUUGAAUAAUGCAUUUAAAAUAUUGCAAGAUGCAUUGCAUGGUUUCUCAUAUUAAAAACAGAUUAGACACAAAAAGCCAAAUAAAAGAUUGAUAAUAGGAAAUAUUAUCAAUAGGCAAGUCUUUCUCAAAUGGGAAGGGGAUCAAGAGACGUAGGAGGGGGGAGUGGAAAAGGAGUGAGAAAAGGAAUUAAGAUGUGCUGUGUACAUGGACCAACUCCACACAAGGAACAUAAAGAUUAUGUAAUGCAAACAUAUACUAAUAAAAACAUUUAAUGCUGGUUGUUACGGUUUGUGUGUGGGUGUCCCCCCAAAGCCA